rnacentral:rRNA from 1 species
ACGUAGGUCACAAGCGUUGUCCGGAAUUACUGGGUGUAAAGGGAGCGCAGGCGGGAGAACAAGUUGGAAGUGAAAUCCAUGGGCUCAACCCAUGAACUGCUUUCAAAACUGUUUUUCUUGAGUAGUGCAGAGGUAGGCGGAAUUCCCGGUGUAGCGGUGGAAUGCGUAGAUAUCGGGAGGAACACCAGUGGCGAAGGCGGCCUACUGGGUAUCAACUGACGCUGAGGCUCGAAAGUGUGGGUAGCAAACAG